rnacentral:tRNA from 1 species
GGAGGUAUAGCUCAAGUGGUAGAGCACGUGCUUAGCAUGUAUGAGGUCCUGGGUUCAAUCCCCAGUACCUCCU